UGUGUUGGAAUAUAUAAUGCAGAAGCUUUUAACUUGUGCACUUAAAAGUGCCACGUUGAUAUGCCAACACACCGACAGUAUGCGAAUUUGUUGUUUCUAUAUUAUAGAGCUAGCGCAAGGCUGAAUCCGUAUCUUCAACAAAUAUUGCCUUCAAUGUGUUGAAAUAUAUAACGCAGGAGUUUUUAACUUGUACACUGGAAAGUGCCACGUUGAUAUGCCAACAAAUCGGCAACAUGCAAAUUUGUUGUUUCUAUAUUAUAGAGCUUGCUCAAGGCUACAUUUUCAAUGCGGCAUUAUUAACUUCGCCGACAUGGAUUUAGCGUGCAUAGAGCACAUAAUUAAGGGCAUGUUUGGUUCGAAAUGGGAAUCGAAAAUUGGAAUGGUUCGGAAUGAAAUACGGAAUGAUGAAUCUCUUAUUAAUUUGCUUGGUUCGUAAUAGGAUUUGGAAUCGGAAUCAACUUAUUACCAUUAUUUGGUUAAGAAAAAUUUAAUCUACUAUCUAAAUUCAUAAUUUAAACUCAAUCUGGGAUUCAAUUUGCAAUUUAAAUUUACGUUCCGAGUCAAAAUGAAAAACUAUAUAUAAAUUCAAAUGUCAAAACUUUAUAUUGAAAUUAAAAUUUAAUAAAUUUUGAAUUUAUAUUCUAAAUUUAAUCUAAAUAUAAAUUUAUAUGUAUAUUUGAAUUAAAUAAUUUUUAUUGAAAAAAAAAGUUCUUUUCUCCAGCUGUCCGAGAAUCAAAUUUGAUUCACACCGUUAUGUUAAGAGUCCCCCCGAAAUAGGAAUCGAAAAGUUAAUCCCUUGAACCAAACACCAACAAUGAGAAUUAGUUUAAUCCGAUUUUCAUUCCAAGUCGUGAAUCCCUCAAACAAACAAGCUCUUAGUGCGAUCCACUACGCAGGAUCAGAGUGAUUCUGAAGCUAUAUAACUAGCAGUGGAAUUGAAUAGCUAUUCACGGCGGCGGGAUCGCUCGGUGCGUAAAAAUUUUCUAUGCGCGGGAUUGUAUAGAAAUAAUG
rnacentral:lncRNA from 1 species